AAACAAUGGUGUGGACAGUUUCUUUGGUAGGCUAUGAGUCUCACCCAAGAAGUAUUGAAUGCUACAGUAGAAUUCUGAGUAAAUGUGGAGUUCUUAUUUCUCAGCUC